rnacentral:rRNA from 1 species
UACGGGAGGCAGCAGUGGGGAAUAUUGCACAAUGGGCGCAAGCCUGAUGCAGCCAUGCCGCGUGUAUGAAGAAGGCCUUCGGGUUGUAAAGUACUUUCAGUCGUGAGGAAGGUGUUAAGGUUAAUAACCUUAGCAAUUGACGUUAGCGACAGAAGAAGCACCGGCUAACUCCGUGCCAGCAGCCGCGGUAAUACGGAGGGUGCGAGCGUUAAUCGGAAUUACUGGGCGUAAAGGGCACGCAGGCGGUUAAUUAAGUUGGAUGUGAAAUCCCCGGGCUUAACCUGGGAAUGGCAUUCAAGACUGGUUAGCUAGAGUCUUGUAGAGGGGGUAGAAUUCCAUGUGUAGCGGUGAAAUGCGUAGAGAUGUGGAGGAAUACCGGUGGCGAAAGGCGGCCCCCUGGACAAAGGACUGACGCUCAUGUGCGAAAAGCGUGGGGAGCAAACAGGGAUUAGAUACC